rnacentral:rRNA from 1 species
CCGCUCAGGNUAAACGCUGGGCGGCAUGCCUAAUACAUGCAAGUCGAACGCUCUCGAUCUUCGGAUCAAUGAGAGAGUGGCGAACGGGUGAGUAACACGUAAGAAAUCUGCCCUAAAGACGAGGAUAACUAUUGGAAACGAUAGCUAAUACUGGAUAGGACAUAAGAUCGCAUGAUCUAAUGUUUAAAGGUGCGUAUGCACUACUUUAGGAUGAUCUUGCGCUGCAUUAGCUAGUUGGUAGGGUAACGGCCUACCAAGGCGACGAUGCAUAGCUGGACUGAGAGGUUGAACAGCCACACUGGGACUGAGACACGGCCCAGACUCCUACGGGAGGCAGCAGUAGGGAAUUUUCGGCAAUGGGCGCAAGCCUGACCGAGCAAUGCCGCGUG